rnacentral:rRNA from 1 species
AUUGAACGCUGGCGGCGUGCUUAACACAUGCAAGUCGAUCGGUAACGCGGGGGCAACCCUGGCGACGAGAGGCGGACGGGUGAGGAACGCUUGGGAAUCUGCCUAUCAGCGGGGGACAACACGGGGAAACUCGUGCUAAUACCGCAUACGCUCUACGGAGGAAAGCCGGGGACCGCAAGGCCUGGCACUGAUAGAUGAGCCCAAGCCGGAUUAGCUAGUUGGCGGGGUAACGGCCCACCAAGGCGACGAUCCGUAGCUGGUCUGAGAGGACGAUCAGCCACACUGGGACUGAGACACGGCCCAGACUCCUACGGGAGGCAGCAGUGGGGAAUAUUGGACAAUGGGGGAAACCCUGAUUCAGCGACGCCGCGUGGGUGAAGAAGGCCUUCGGGUUGUAAAGCGCUUUUGUCUGGGAGCAAAUCCUGGCCUCUAAUACAGGUCGGGGAUGAGAGUACCAGAAGAAUAAGGACCGGCUAACUACGUGCCAGCAGCCGCGGUAAAAC